UAGAUGGAUAGAUGGAUAGAUAGAUGGAUAGACAGGUAGAUAGAUGGAUAGAUAGAUAGACAGAUAAAUAGACAGAUCGAUAGAUAGGUGGAUGGAUGGAUGGAUAGAUGAAUAGAUAGAUGGAUAGAUAGAUGGAUAGACAGGUAGAUAGAUGGAUAGAUAGAUAGACAGAUAAAUAGACAGAUCGAUAGAUAGAUAGAUAGAUAGAUAGAUAGAUAGAUAGAUAGAUAGAUAGACAAGUAGGUAGAUAUAUAGAUGAAUAGAUAGACAGAUAGACAGGUAGAUAGAUGGAUGGAUGGAUAGAUGGAUAGAUAGAUGGAUAGACAGGUAGAUAGAUGGAUAGAUAGAUAGAUCGAUAGAUAGACAGGUAGAUAGAUGGAUAGAUAGAUAGACAGAUAAAUAGACAGAUCGAUAGAUAGAUAGAUGGAUAGAUAGAUGGAUAGAUAGAUAGAUAGACAGGUAGGUAGAUAUAUAGAUGAAUAGAUAGACAGGUAGGUAGAUAGAUCGAUAGAUAGACAGGUAGAUAGAUGGAUGGAUGGAU
ensembl:lncRNA